rnacentral:rRNA from 1 species
UUAAGCGACUAAGCGUACACGGUGGAUGCCCUGGCAGUCAGAGGCGAUGAAGGACGUGCUAAUCUGCGAAAAGCGUCGGUAAGGUGAUAUGAACCGUUAUAACCGGCGAUGUCCGAAUGGGGAAACCCAGUGCAAUUCGUUGCACUAUCGUUAACUGAAUACAUAGGUUAACGAGGCGAACCGGGGGAACUGAAACAUCUAAGUACCCCGAGGAAAAGAAAUCAACCGAGAUUCCCCCAGUAGCGGCGAGCGAACGGGGAGCAGCCCAGAGUCUGAAUCAGCUUGUGUGUUAGUGGAACGGUCUGGAAAGUCCGACGGUACAGGGUGAUAGUCCCGUACACCAAAAUGCACAGGUUGUGAACUCGAAGAGUAGGGCGGGACACGUGGUAUCCUGUCUGAAUAUGGGGGGACCAUCCUCCAAGGCUAAAUACUCCUGACUGACCGAUAGUGAACCAGUACCGUGAGGGAAAGGCGAAAAGAACCCCGGCGAGGGGAGUGAAAAAGAACCUGAAACCGUGUACGUACAAGCAGUGGGAGCACCUUCGGGUGUGACUGCGUACCUUUUGUAUAAUGGGUCAGCGACUUAUAUUCUGUAGCAAGGUUAACCGUAUAGGGGAGCCGCAGGGAAACCGAGUCUUAACUGGGCGUUAAGUUGCAGGGUAUAGACCCGAAACCCGGUGAUCUAGCCAUGGGCAGGUUGAAGGUUGGGUAACACUAACUGGAGGACCGAACCGACUAAUGUUGAAAAAUUAGCGGAUGACUUGUGGCUGGGGGGGAAAGGCCAAUCAAACCGGGAGAUAGCUGGUUCUCCCCGAAAGCUAUUUAGGUAGCGCCUCGUGAACUCAUCUUCGGGGGUAGAGCACUGUUUCGGCUAGGGGGUCAUCCCGACUUACCAACCCGAUGCAAACUACGAAUACCGAAGAAUGUUAUCACGGGAGACACACGGCGGGUGCUAACGUCCGUCGUGAAGAGGGAAACAACCCAGACCGCCAGCUAAGGUCCCAAAGUCAUGGUUAAGUGGGAAACGAUGUGGGAAGGCACAGACAGCCAGGAUGUUGGCUUAGAAGCAGCCAUCAUUUAAAGAAAGCGUAAUAGCUCACUGGUCGAGUCGGCCUGCGCGGAAGAUGUAACGGGGCUAAACCAUGCACCGAAGCUGCGGCAGCGACACUAUGUGUUGUUGGGUAGGGGAGCGUUCUGUAAGCCUGCGAAGGUGUGCUGUGAGGCAUGCUGGAGGUAUCAGAAGUGCGAAUGCUGACAUAAGUAACGAUAAAGCGGGUGAAAAGCCCGCUCGCCGGAAGACCAAGGGUUCCUGUCCAACGUUAAUCGGGGCAGGGUGAGUCGACCCCUAAGGCGAGGCCGAAAGGCGUAGUCGAUGGGAAACAGGUUAAUAUUCCUGUACUUGGUGUUACUGCGAAGGGGGGACGGAGAAGGCUAUGUUAGCCGGGCGACGGUUGUCCCGGUUUAAGCAUGUAGGCUGAUUGUCCAGGCAAAUCCGGAUAAUCAAGGCUGAGGUGUGAUGACGAGGCACUACGGUGCUGAAGUAACAAAUGCCCUGCUUCCAGGAAAAGCCUCUAAGCAUCAGGUAACAUUAAAUCGUACCCCAAACCGACACAGGUGGUCAGGUAGAGAAUACCAAGGCGCUUGAGAGAACUCGGGUGAAGGAACUAGGCAAAAUGGUGCCGUAACUUCGGGAGAAGGCACGCUGGUGUGUAGGUGAAGUCCCUGCGGAUGGAGCUGAGACCAGUCGAAGAUACCAGCUGGCUGCAACUGUUUAUUAAAAACACAGCACUGUGCAAACACGAAAGUGGACGUAUACGGUGUGACGCCUGCCCGGUGCCGGAAGGUUAAUUGAUGGGGUUAUCCGUAAGGAGAAGCUCUUGAUCGAAGCCCCGGUAAACGGCGGCCGUAACUAUAACGGUCCUAAGGUAGCGAAAUUCCUUGUCGGGUAAGUUCCGACCUGCACGAAUGGCGUAAUGAUGGCCAGGCUGUCUCCACCCGAGACUCAGUGAAAUUGAACUCGCUGUGAAGAUGCAGUGUACCCGCGGCAAGACGGAAAGACCCCGUGAACCUUUACUAUAGCUUGACACUGAACAUUGAGCCUUGAUGUGUAGGAUAGGUGGGAGGCUUUGAAGCGUGGACGCCAGUCUGCGUGGAGCCAACCUUGAAAUACCACCCUUUAAUGUUUGAUGUUCUAACGUUGGCCCCUUACCGGGGUUGCGGACAGUGUCUGGUGGGUAGUUUGACUGGGGCGGUCUCCUCCCAAAGCGUAACGGAGGAGCACGAAGGUUAGCUAAUCCUGGUCGGACAUCAGGAGGUUAGUGCAAUGGCAUAAGCUAGCUUGACUGCGAGCGUGACGGCGCGAGCAGGUGCGAAAGCAGGUCAUAGUGAUCCGGUGGUUCUGAAUGGAAGGGCCAUCGCUCAACGGAUAAAAGGUACUCCGGGGAUAACAGGCUGAUACCGCCCAAGAGUUCAUAUCGACGGCGGUGUUUGGCACCUCGAUGUCGGCUCAUCACAUCCUGGGGCUGAAGUAGGUCCCAAGGGUAUGGCUGUUCGCCAUUUAAAGUGGUACGCGAGCUGGGUUUAGAACGUCGUGAGACAGUUCGGUCCCUAUCUGCCGUGGGCGCUGGAGAAUUGAGGGGGGCUGCUCCUAGUACGAGAGGACCGGAGUGGACGCAUCACUGGUGUUCGGGUUGUCAUGCCAAUGGCACUGCCCGGUAGCUAAAUGCGGAAGAGAUAAGUGCUGAAAGCAUCUAAGCACGAAACUUGCCCCGAGAUGAGUUCUCCCUGAGACUUUAAGUCUCCUGAAGGAACGUUGAAGACGACGACGUUGAUAGGCCGGGUGUGUAAGCGCAGCGAUGCGUUGAGCUAACCGGUACUAAUGAACCGUGAGGCUUAACCUU